GCAAGAAGUGCUGGGGGAUUUUAAGAUCCAGAUGGAAAAAAAAAACUUGGGGUGGGAGCGGGGAUGUGGGGUAGGAAGAACACACUCUUCUUCAUCCAGGGGAUUUUAACCUCCUAGGACUGAUAUUAAAUGUGAAACUGGGGGUAUCUGUGUGUAUGUACAUUUGGGGGACAGGGUCCAUAGUUCUUAUCAGAGUUCCAGUAGGGUCCCUACCCUAAAAGGUUAAGAACUCUGCAUCUGGAAGGCAGGCAAUUAGGUUAGCAAAUCAUCAUCCUAAACAUGACCUGAACUGAGACAAUCACGAGAAAAGAAAAGUGCUUUGUGCUCCAAAGAAAACAAAAGCUAUUUCCAACAGGAAUUGGCUGUCACAUUCUCUGCACUUGGAAAAAAAAAAAAUCAACAGAGCAUCCGCCCAGCCUGCCCAAGGCCCAUCCCUUAAGCCCAGGUCUCCAGGGAAGGCUUCAAGCCUUUGUUUUCCAGUCUGUGGGCAACUGGUUGGGCAGAGAGCCAGAAGGCAGAGACCUUGAUGGAAGAAAAUAUAGAGAUGUGCCAAAUUGUGUGGGCUAGAAGCACCUGAAGGUGGGCUCUGGCUGCUGCCAUGAGACCCACCAGGUGAGGGAAAAGGUGCCGGUUCAGACCCAGUUCUCUUCUGAUGCCUUGCUUUGGCUCCAGCCAUGAUGUCAGGCCUGCUGUUUCCUCCAGUUUGUGACAACAGGGGCUCCUAGGCAGUUCCCCAUUUGCCUCUGCAGGGCCACCGUCCAGCCUCUUCCCUCAGGUCUUGCUGGAUCCUCCUAACCCUGUCGUCUUCCCAGGCCCAGGUGGCAUUGGCUGCCAGCUGUCGCCACCCCAAGGUGCCUCGCCACCAUUCCUUCACCAGGAUUUGCCUGAUGGUCCAGUGGAUAGGAAUCUGCUUGCCAACACGAGGGACAUGGGUUUGAUCUCUGGUCAGAGAAGAUUCCACAUGCCUCAGGACAACUAAGCCCAUGGGCCACAGAACUAUUGAGCCCACGUGCCCCAGAGCCCAAGUUCGACAAGAGAAGCCACAGCAAUGAUAAGCCUGUAUGACACUCCUACAGAGGAGCUGGCCUCAGCAAUGAAGACCCAUCACAGCCAAAAAUAAAUAGGAAAAUAAAGUUGUUUAAAAAAAAAAAGCUUCCACUCCCAUGACCAUUGUCUGAGGUUCAACAGCAGGAGUUUAUCAAAGAAGGGGAACAUCCAGCUAAGACUAGUACCUCAGAAGGUUUAACAGAAGGUUAGAAACACACCUAUUUUAAGGUUUGCAGCCUAAAUGUCACAUAGGAAUAAAAAGGAACCCCAGUGAAGGACUCCUCACAUAGAAUUCCAUCACAAAUUAAUCACAGGUUAUCAUAAGUUGAGGGAAAUGGCAGUAUAGCAGAAAAAAUUUAUUUUAAUUUAUACCUCUAAUUAAGCAACAUUUGAAACUUUUCUGUUUAGUUGAAAGUCUGUUUAUCUACUGCUGAAUAAUAAAAUACCCC
ensembl:lncRNA